rnacentral:rRNA from 1 species
GACGAACGCCGGCGGCGUGCUUAACACAUGCAAGUCGAACGAUGAAGCCGGAGCUUGCUCUGGUGAAUUAGUGGCGAACGGGUGAGUAACACGUGAGUAACCUGCCCUUGACUCUGGGAUAACUGCGGGAAACUGUAGCUAAUACCGGAUACGACCCUCGGAGGCAUCUCCUGGGGGUGGAAAGAAUUUCGGUCAAGGAUGGACUCGCGGCCUAUCAGCUAGUUGGUGAGGUAAAGGCUCACCAAGGCGACGACGGGUAGCCGGCCUGAGAGGGGGACCGGCCACACUGGGACUGAGACACGGCCCAGACUCCGACGGGAGGCAGCAGUGGGGAAUAUUGCACAAUGGGCGCAAGCCUGAUGCAGCAACGCCGCGUGAGGGAUGACGGCCUUCGGGUUGUAAACCUCUUUUAGCAGGGAAGAAGCGAAAGUGACGGUACCUGCAGAAAAAGCACCGGCUAACUACGUGCCAGCCGCCGCCGUAA